rnacentral:rRNA from 1 species
GUGCCAGCCGCCGCGGUAAUACGUAGGGGGCGAGCGUUGUCCGGAAUGACUGGGCGUAAAGGGUGCGUAGGCGGCCAGGUAAGUCAGAUGUGAAAGGCAUAGGCUCAACCUAUGUAAGCAUUUGAAACUGUCUGGCUUGAGUCGAGGAGAGGAAAGUGGAAUUCCUGGUGUAGCGGUGAAAUGCGUAGAUAUCAGGAGGAAUACCAGUGGCGAAGGCGACUUUCUGGACUUGGACUGACGCUGAGGCACGAAAGCGUGGGGAGCAAACAGGAUUAGAUACCCUGGUAGUCCACGCUGUAAACGAUGAGUGCUAGGUGUCGGGGCGAAAGCUUCGGUGCCGGAGUUAACACAAUAAGCACUCCGCCUGGGGAGUACGGUCGCAAGACUGAAACUCAAAGGAAUUGGCGG